CCCUAGCCCCGAUUGAGCGGUUUGUUUGAGCUCUUUCCGUGUAUCGGCGGCUCCGCCCGCCGAUACACGGAAAAGCGAGUAGCGAAAGCGGGAAAUUGC
rnacentral:misc_RNA from 1 species